rnacentral:rRNA from 1 species
UGGGGAAUCUUGGACAAUGGGCGCAAGCCUGAUCCAGCAACGCCGCGUGGAGGACGAAGGCCUUCGGGUCGUAAACUCCUGUCAGUAGGGACGAAAAAGCAGGGUCGAACAGGCCCUUGCCAUUGACGGUACCUGCAGAGGAAGCCCCGGCUAACUCCGUGCCAGCAGCCGCGGUAAUACGGAGGGGGCUAGCGUUAUUCGGAAUUACUGGGCGUAAAGGGCGUGUAGGCGGCUUGAUAGGUCAAAAGGUGAAAUCCCUCGGCUCAACCGAGGAACUGCCUUUGAAACCAUCUGGCUCGAGGCUGGGAGGGGGUAGCGGAAUUCCUGGUGUAGCGGUGAAAUGCGUAGAUAUCAGGAGGAACACCAGUGGCGAAGGCGGCUACCUGGACCAGUUCUGACGCUGAGGCGCGAAAGCGUGGGG